AGUGAAUUAGCGGCGAACGGGUGAGGAACACGUGAGGAAUCUGCCUUCAACUCUGGGAUAACACCGGGAAACCGGUGCUAAUACCGGAUAUGAGCCUUGAUCGCAUGAUCGGGGCUGGAAAGUUUUUCGGUUGAAGAUGACUUCGCGGCCUAUCAGCUAGUUGGUGAGGUAAAGGCUCACCAAGGCGACGACGGGUAGCCGGCCUGAGAGGGCGACCGGCCACACUGGGACUGAGACACGGCCCAGACUCC
rnacentral:rRNA from 1 species